rnacentral:lncRNA from 1 species
CUUCAGUUUCAAUAAAAUAUUGUCUAAACUACUACAUAUUUAAUUAAUGGAGAAGGUUACCUGUCCAAAUGCUUGUGCAUUCAAUGGUUUUAAAGUUAUACAUGUAGAUAAAGAACUAAUUAAAGCUUAAUAUAUGAGAUCAAUUUAUGGUUUUUAAUUUUUCAAAUGAAAAUAAAUAAGUUGAACCACUGCUAUUUGAACGUUACAAGUAUGGAGCUAUAUAUGACAAGCAGAGAAUGAGAAAAAAAGUUAAACAUUAUGAUAGAGUAAUUAAUUAGAACAUAGAUCACCAAGAGGUUCCCAGCUCUAUAAAGGUUGAGGUUCACUAACAAUGAAUGUAGAAUUAAAAAAAUACUAAGAAAAAAAUACUUUGAUUAUGGAAAAGAAGAUAUUAAAACAACCGAGUCCAUAAAUUACGCGUGUAGCACUAUCUCGGUUUCUUCCUUAUUCCUAUAUCAUUCUUCUCCAUUGAUUUGUAUGACAGAUUAAGUUAUGUAGUUAUAUUAUGUUUAGCAGGAUGUAGUUUCUACUGCAACUCUCAGCAUUAUUUCUAAUUUAAGUGGUUCUAAUGAUGCAAGUUGUUCAAGACUUAUGGAUGACAUCACGGUAAGAAAACUCCAUCUAACUCUUGUAAAAGUAAAUGCCUUGGUUGAUAUUGUUUAUUAUCAUGUUUGCGUUAUUUUUUCAUCUAGUAUCUUGUCGUUGCCGCCACCACCAUUCGUAUCAUGAACUUAACCUUCAGUUCUCAUAAAUAAAUUAGUUGUUGGCUUUGUGAAAGUCACCUUUGGCUUUCUUUCAAUCUUAUUCUAGGCAGUUUUACUAAAAGAAAAUGGUACUUGGUUCUCACAAAUCCCCCUUGCUUUACUUUUUCUUUCAACCUGCAUAAUUAUUUAAUUUUUCAGAUCAAGAAAGUCGGUACUGAUGACUGCCCACAAAUAUGUUAUCUAAACCGAGAAAGCAAAUAAAUGUUGAUAAUGAUGAAUAUCCCAUAAGCUAGUUGGCCACACGCCACCUUUAUAUAUAAACUAAAAGUCAGUUGAAGAUUGAAUGUUAAAUUGUUUUGCAGAUAGAAAUAAUUCUCAAUAGGGUGGCUUUGUGGUUCCUGAGUAGAAUUUACAUUGAUAAUAAUUAUUUUUAUAUUAAUUUUCUUCAAAGUAGAAAUAUUUUCUUUACUUAAAUUAGAUUGCUAGGUGUAGCAAUUGGAUUCGAAGUGGAUAAAGAAGGAUUAGAUUUGAGAUUUUGAAUUACUUAAUGUAGUUCCAAAAGAAAAAGUUUCUUGGUGAUGUGCUUGUUCUUUGGCAUUAUAAUUCUCUGUUACAAUUAUUUUUAGAUUGUUAUUUAUUAUUUUUUUGACAAGUUCUUGUUUACUGCUAUUAUUACAGCUUUUGGCAGCACCACUACCAUAAGAAGUUGUUGUACAUAAAACUCCCGUGACCAAAAGGAGUUUACUGAUCUCAAAAGUCUUUUAUUAUCUUAAAAUGCAAGUUAUCUUUUACUUUAGAGUCAAAAGAUCAGUUAAUUAUAAUAUCUUUCACAAUAGUGUGUUCUGAUAUAUAAUUUUGUCCAUCAUACUUAAUUUUGCUCCAAUAUAGUCACGGCCCCACACACACACAAUAUAUAUAUAUAUAUAUAUAU